UACGUAGGGUGCAAGCGUUAUCCGGAAUUAGUGGGCGUAAAGAGCUCGUAGGCGGUUUGUCGCGUCUGCUGUGAAAACCCGAGGCUCAACCUCGGGCCUGCAGUGGGUACGGGCAGACUAGAGUGCGGUAGGGGAGAUUGGAAUUCCUGGUGUAGCGGUGGAAUGCGCAGAUAUCAGGAGGAACACCGAUGGCGAAGGCAGAUCUCUGGGCCGUAACUGACGCUGAGGAGCGGAAGCGUGGGGAGCGAACAGG
rnacentral:rRNA from 1 species